CUGGGCCUUGAGCUGUCUCUUUCCAACCUGCGGGAGAGAAGAAGAACUUCAGACCCUCCCACAGGAGAGCCUCGCAACACCCUUGUGAGGUUGCGUUGGCCCACUCAGUGUCCCCUACAACAGUGGGCUCUCCCCUGGGCUGUCCAGUUGGCGUUAAUGUGGGGCUACAGCUGAAGUGCCAGGAAUCCCAGCAGACACCCAUCCGCCUUCUCCCUCACGACCAGUGGCAACAUCUUUCUUGGACCACAGGUGGAAGCUCUGGUGUACCAUGAGUCUAGUGGGUGGGAGUGCCCUCCAUGCCUUCGUUUCUCUGAGUAGAAAUGGGAAGCACAAUUAUCGCUACCCCCAUAGCAUUCUGUGAAGAUGAAAUGAGAUAACUGACUUGAAACCACUGUCGGGCUACAAUAUACCGGAUGCACCUCCGAUAUACCCUCAACUGUUGAGUCUCUAUUUUCCAGUCCUUAAAAUGGCCUGAUGGGAAUCCAUUCAACUACCAGGAUCAAUGGUCACUUUACAGUGUCCGCCCCCAGCAGCAGCUUAAGAUGACCUGUGUCCUAGAGUGGUUCCCAAUUACUUGCUGACUUUAGAAAAUCUUUUAGAUUUACUUAUCCUCCCUUCUCCACACUCCUGCCCUACACACCCUUGGAAAGGAGAGACGUCCAACGUGCAGCCCACAACUGGGGACUAGCCAGAGGACAGCCCUAAUUUAAAACCCAAGCUCCCCAGUGGGAGUCCAACACCAACACAUGAUACAACCUUGAAUUAGACCCUCACUUUCCUUCGACUUCAGACUCUUUGUCUCUAAAAUGAAAAUUUGGAUGAGGGGAUCCCUAAGACCUCUACGAUUCUGAGACCCUAUGCAUGACUUUUUCACAAACGUACAACUUCCAGGCCAUCCUGUGGGCACUAGACCCCUCCGGAAGGAGCUCCACGAUCUUACCUCUUCAUAGAUGGUAUUAUUGAGGGAAGGGCCGUGGUUCUUCUUCGUGGAUUCAGACUGGAAAUUCAGACAGUAAAGAGUGCUUAACUUCAAGCUGGGAAAUGUCCCACUCCUAACUGAUGUGAGGCUCCAGAACAGACCUCUGAACCCACUUCCCACACCCACAUACCCCUCAGGCCCGCACGUAUACACAUUCCCAGCACAUACACACGUGUCUUCAGACAGACCUGAUACAAGUACCACCUGUGACCAUGCAUCUCAUCAACACGUAAUAGACACACCCCCGCAGCGUAAGCAGUUCUAGAACACACGUGAGAACUAACCGUAACACCUACCCUGACCCUGAGCACGGUGAAACGCUGGAAACGCUGGAAUUCAGAAGCACUUUCAGUAAUAUGUAGUCUCCCAAACAACACCAAGCAUGUGACCCUGGUGCCUGUGACCAUCCAUAUGUCCUUGUAUUACGGCACAGAACUUAAGUACAAAUAUCCCUUGAGGUGGAAGCCAAGUUGAUUGAACGGCUUAUUGGAAGGAGAGUGAAUAAAAAAGCCUGAAAACCUGUUUGAAACCUCUCCCCCCCAUUUGACCCUGACCUGCAUGUACUCAACACUUCCGCAGUUUGGCACAUUCCCAACUUCCCAUACUCUCAUGUUAAGUUUAUGUCUUCAUACUGUGACUCCAACCUUGGAAAUACCAUUCUUCCAACCCCUCUCCCACCCAAGGUGAAAAGAUGACCAUGGGCACCAGGUACACAUAAGACCUGUGAGCUCAGCUUGGAGCAGGGUUCGAGAGGACCAUGACGGGUUGCCUCAGCCUAGAGCCCUCCAUCAGCAGAUGACUGGCCAGAACCGUUUUCUGGUUCCCUGAAAGUCACCAUUGCGUCUCUCUAGGUCCUGGCUACUCCUCUGGCUCUGGGCUAUAUUCUCCCACCUUGGUAACCCCUCUGGUGUCUCUCUCUGCCAUAGCCUCAGCUGACCUGCUAAGGACUCCAUGGUCCCUGUGCACAAAGCACUGCCCUUCUGUCUCUGAUUGUGCUUGUCUCACAGAAACUCCUAGAGACACUCCUUUAAUCCACUGUUCUCUUAGACUCCGACCUGUUCUUUUUCUCCAAAUAGACUUCUAGUUAGCCCAUUAACAUUUAAGUAGAGCCCUUGAACCCGAGCUGC